ACAAAACCCGGAAGGACCCAGCCGAAGGUUUUCUCCGGUUCGGGCAAGAGACGGGGUCCCGCUCUGUCACCCAGGCUGCCAGACUGGCGUACAGUGGUGCAAUCUCAGCUCACUGCAACCUGCACCUCCUGGGUUCAAGUGAUUUUCUUGUCUCUGCCUCCUGAGUAGCUGGGAUUACUGGCACACACCACCAUGCACUGUUCCUUGUUCAAAAUGCCAAGAACCUGGAUGACUCAGAGUCAAGACCCUCCACCAGUAACAUAUAUUGGCGAGCCAGCCAGGAGACCACUACAGGAAACACUCCAUUUAUUCCACCUGAAUUCCCACUUGGCUGCAUCCUCAACCAUUGAAAUGAAUUUGACCCUGAUAAUCUAAGGAGGAAACAUUUGAUAUUCUUUUGCAAUAAUACUUGGCCCCAGUAUUGUUUGGAAUCUGGAGUUUGCUGUUGAAUGGGAAAGUGGGAUGACGUUGCAUGUAUCCAGGCUUUGGUGCUGCUGUCCUAAGAAGGGUCAGGCCUGGUCAGCAUAUGGUGCUCUCCUUUGGUGCUAUUUGGCUCCAGUGUCUUCAGAGUCUGAGGAGGUUUGGCCUUUAAAAAUCAAACUGCCACUGAAACUACUUUAUCCAAAAUUUUAGUUCACAGCCUUCACUGGAUUACCUAUUGGGGCAAACAAAGUGUAACCAUGUAAAACCUGUGAGCUUGUAUUGAUAUCUCAUGGCUAGCGCUCCAAGGUAAAAGCUAUUGGAUCUCGUUUGUGUGUGUGUAUACAUGUCUAGAUGUGUUUAUUUGUAUGU
rnacentral:antisense_RNA from 1 species